rnacentral:lncRNA from 1 species
UUUUUCUAAUCAAAGCGCGAAAGCGCUGUAAAGGCAGUUAAUUACAGGUUGUGUGUAUUUCUAGUCCAGUUAUAUCAUUAUCUUCCAUAGAACAGAGGUGGUUUGUAGAAUUUAAGAUUUAGAGUUCUUUUGUACCUAGUUCACCUAUAUCUAGUCUACUGUUUACAGUAUAUUUUCUGUGCCUCCCAUGAAAUGCAUUUUUAGCCAUGGCCUUGUCAGUUUGCUUUAAAUUUAUGAGUUUGACUGUCCCUUUGGUGUAUUUCGUCCCUC